UUUUGGACUCAUAUCAAAUUAAUAUAUAUAUAAAUAUAUAUAUAUAUAUAUAUAUAUAUAUAUAUAUAUAUAUAUCAUAACGAUGAGUGCUUCUCUUUCGAUAUUCUUGAUACUACAACGAGUAGGCACAUGGCCCGCGUGACCAUUCUAACCUCAAAUUAUGACUAUUAUAUGACAUAUAUAUACAUCUCGUUAAAAGCAUUCCUAAGUGAGGUGUAUCUCAGGUUAAAAAUAUACGAUAAGAAAUUGUUAAAAUUAUAAACUGUAAAAAAUAUGAAGAUUAAGAAAAUAAAAAUGACUCACCGGCAUUCGAAAUGUAACGCGGUGUACUCGUGGCAACCACCGUACUGUAUCCUUGGGACAGAUGAUGAACACCAGGAUUAUUAACGUUAACGUUGACUACAAGCGGAUGUUGCUGAUGUGGAUUAUGAUGUUGCUGUUGAUGAUGAUGAUGGUGAUGGGCCAGGUGAUGUUGUUGCUUCCCUUUCGUCGGCAUGCUCAUAAACGUCGCAAACCAACCUCUGAAUUAUCCACUACCGUCAAACCUUGCUGCCUUACGUAGCUCGCCUCGGUCCUCAUAGAAAGAAUGAGAAAGGAGUAAGGGAAACGAACGGAGAGAGAAGGACCAAUAAGGAUAGCCAAUCCAUGAAAAGAAUACCAGAUGACGCUCUUAGUCAAACUUACUUCUAUGGAUGCUCGAUGUAAUUAUAUCGAUAAAAAGAUUCCACUCAAUAUGUACUCGCUGGAAAUGAAUAUUUCAUAUUCAUGUUGUUAAAUUAGUUUAAAGAAAUGAUAAUUCUAUCGGAAAUAAUAAUUUAAAAAAUCUCUUAAAGAGUUAAUACUCUUUAAGCAUGUAUUCAGUUUAACCAAUCGUAACGUGUUUAUAUAAUGAAUGUAGAAAGAUACGAAACUUGUAAUUAGCUAUUAUUUGUUAUGUUUGACAUUGACGACCAAUCAUGUCGACCGUAGGAAGAAUCUGAUAUUUAAGAAAACUUCUUAUUGGUUGAAUAAAACUGAUAUAAACUAUAUAGUUUUGUGUUACUCAGAUGUUAUUCAGAAUAUGACGUAAAGGAAGAAAACCAAUCAAAAUAGCGUAUUCGUGUUUUACUGAAAAGCGAAAAGUAUGAUAAUAUUUGUAUCUUUUAAAAUAAAUAUUUGUGAGUAUU